rnacentral:lncRNA from 1 species
UGGUUAUGUCAGCACCCACUUGGGGGUGUGGUGUGGUGGCAAGAAACCCCACUACCAAGUGGGUUACCCGUGUGUGCUUAUAAUGUAUCUCACAUGAAGUUGUGUGGUGAGUAUUUGGGUGAUGUCCUAUAGUAUGCCAUAUAAACUGUUGUGGUAAUAUGCCAUAUAAACUGUUGUGGUAAUAUUGUUGUCAUGCUGUAAAAUUAGUAUUUUUUAUGACUGGGAUUUUCUAAAAUUCAAUAUUUAAACUUUAGAAUAUAUUUGGCCGAGAACGGUUCAUUUGGUAAAUUGUGUCAACAAGAUCAUCGAAGCAAAAAAUCAAGUUGACGUAGUCGCAUGGUCCAAUCACAUUUGCUACAAAAAAUGGACGAGUUAUUUUAAAAAUUAUAUUUACUAUCCCGACAAAAAUUAACCUAUCAUGAGGCUACAACAGAGUCCAUGUAAAGUAGUGAACCUUAAUAAACCAACUAAUCACAGAGAUGGCUUUGUUCGUUUCUCAUUUCAGUGCAUUUUCCAUAAUGAAUUCUGAGAAAAUUUUAAAAUUAUUCCAAAGAAAUCCAAAAGAGUAGACAACUUCCUCAACAUUGUGUCAACUAAUAAUUCUGUCAGCGACAACUAUACUAUCGACAAAUGUCGACACUAUUAACAAACGUUUACGAAACUUCCUUCCAGACGUCCAACAUACCAAGUUUUCAUGUCGACACGACGACACUGUACCCAUCACAUGUCGAUACGAUAAAACAAAAUUCCACCACCAAGUCUCCUGUAUAAAUUGUGACACUAUAAGAAGAUCCUGACGACACUUCCUUCCAGAAGUGCUAUGCAACGAAUAAAGUAUCAACACUUUUAAGAGAAUAAAUCACCUCUCUUGUACACUGUCCAAAAGUGAAUAAAUUAUUCACUCAACUACCUAUAGCAUGCACCCACUCAUAACUACUAAGUACACUCACUAACUCUCAACACUUCCCUCAAGUUUGAGAGUAAAUAUCAGACAGGUCUAGCUUGUUACUCACAAACUCUAAUUGUGGUUUGCACAAUAAUUUUGUGAACAUAUCAGCGACAUGUACUCUAGUGGAAACAAACGGAGUAGUAAUGAUCCCCUUCUCAACCCGCAUAGGAACUAGAUGACAAUUAAUCUCAAUAUCUUAGUCCUCUCAUGAAACACAUGAUUAGAAACAAUACGAAUGUGAAUGGCGGCUUGAUUGUCACAAUACAUAUCCAUAAGCAAUUUCACUACAAAUCUUAACUCCUCCAAAAGAUGCCUUAUCCACAUAAGCUCACACAAAGUAUGAGCCAAGCUGUGUACUCAGUUUCAGCACUAGACUGUGCAACUACAGUCUGCUUCUUACUCUUUCAAGUAACGAGAGUGCCACCUAAAAAAGUGCAAUACCCUAUAGUAGAACUCAUAUCUAAUAGAGAUCCAGUCCAAUCGAAAUCGGUGAACGCCUACAUAAAUGACCAUGCACUCCAUAGAACAAACAAAGAACAGGGUGCAUCUUAAGAUAUUGCACAAUCCUCAAGGUUGUGGGUUCAAACACGAGGACGGCCACUUUGUGCGUAUAAUACCAAAUGUUAUCCCUCCCGGUUAUCAUUAAUUGGUAGGCGCAGUUUUUCAACGAUCAUAGCAUGGUGUUGAGAUAACUUCGCCUGAAAGUAUUAUUGGUGUAUAUCUUCGCUGGAUUAUUGGAGAAAUCAACGCUUUGGAAUCUAAUUUGGCGUAUUUUAAUACAAAUGCUGGCAAUGGUAUUAAGCAGAGCUUUGCACUAGAUAGACAGAGUGGGAAGAGGUGUUACAUGCUAGGAGCGAGGCGGCUCUCAAUUGAAUGGGGUAAUAACACAACAUACUGGAAAUGGGCAUCUCAUCCGGACUCCAGGUUCUCUCUCUCUCUCUCUCUGUGUGUGUGUGGGCGCGAUUGCUAGAAAUGGAAAGAACUCGUGAAAUCUAUGAAAACUUCAUUUUGCUCUUCGUCUGCAAGUGCAUGUAGAUUGUAACAUCGAUUUCUUUCUUUCAUUUUUUUAAUUGUUUAGCUGUAAGAGAAUUUCUCAUGGAAUAUUACUCCAAUAUAAACUCCAGUAGUUUGGGUUUGGAUGAGAUUCUCGAGUGGCUCAGCUUUUGCAUGUGUGCUGUCUCGAAUGGAGCCAAGAUGACACACGGGGUGUGUCUCCAAGACCACAUAACGUUGCCUACCUUUGUGUUUAAAGAACAACCAGAAGAGUUUUCGGGUUCAAGUGUUCCAUGAAGGCAUCGGUUGGCUAUGUCGGGAAGAAGGGGUUGGAGCUAGACAUGAGAGAGUUGUUUAUCUGGAAUCAAACAAUUCUCUACUUUUGGCAUUACAAGAUACGAUCACUUCCAUAUGAAGAGAAGAUGGUUGGAUGGAGAUCAAGUUGGGAGAAAUAUUCAUUGACCUAGCUGAUGAUGGUAAGGGGGAAAUGAUGUUUAAGGAGGUGGAGAGGCUCGGCCCCAAGUCCGGCCUCAUUAUCCAAGGAAUUGAACUUCGGCCAAAAAAUGGUACAUAACAUUCAUGUAACUAUUUGGUGACUACCCAAUGAGAAACUUUCAAAUAGCGCGCCAGUGGGAACAACUUUGUUAGGUUGUGAGAGACGAGUUGUCAUUGUUCCCAUAGAAUGCUGUCACUCAAUAUUUGUUUAUAGUGUUCGAGUCUUGGCCUAAAAAUGGUACAUAGUAUUGAGCUUCGGCCUAAAACUAGAGAAAAGUAUUGAACUUUGUCCUAAAGUAUCUGGUUGUCUUGUUAUGUGCCUAUGAUGGCAAUUUCUAUUGAUGGUUCAUUUUGAAAGCUUUGAACUUUUGCUUAAAAUAAUGGUGGAAUGUGUGUGCUGGACUAGGCUAUUUAAUAGUUAAUUGUUGUUGAAGUAAAGAUGAUACUUGAUAAAAUAAAGUCUUUCCAUUAACCGUCACCUAAUUAGAUCACAUUUGUCUCUUCAAAUUUCUUCACACAAUUGAAAUGUGUUCUUUUGUCAAUUUAGUUUCUUUUCUUCCCUCUCUUUAAGAUCCAUCUCUUCCAAAAACUAAAAGACAAAACAAAAUAAUUUCCUUGUAUACUGAUGACCCUUCAAAUGUUAAGAAAUAUAUUGUAAUUUUACAUAUAAAUACAAAAAAUAAAAUGUAUUUGAUGAAAAAUGUAGUACAUAAAUCAUUACCUUUUUCAAAUGCACUAAACAUUUUAAGCGAAGCCUAACUUUGCAAUUUAUUUAUUUAUUUAUUUUGAAGAAUUUUAUUUUUUAAGAAGUUAAAUACUAUACAGUUAAACAAUCUCAAUUUUUUGAGAUUGUCCUUCAACACUUAGGAAUUACCUAAAUGUGAAAAAAGUGAUAUUAUCUCAUCAAUUCAAAAGAGAAGUAUAAUAUGAAAAUAUAUAAUAUUUUAUUUGUUGAUUUUUAAAAACCAAAAACGAUUUUAAGAUAUCUAAAAAUAAAAUAGUAAACAAAUAAAAUGAGUCAUUGAUUGAGAUAAUCCCCAUCAUAAUUACCUAUAUGUCCUUGUAUGCAAAAACAAUAUUUGAGUAAAAGAGAAAUUUGGGUGAAUUCACCGUAAUAAAAAAAAAUGUUAUAUGCUUGGAUCCAGGGCACUCACAAUUGCAUGGGGAAGAUCUCCAUAAAUACUGGACAAUGUUAUCUUCACCCGAGUCAAGUCCUCCUCUCUCUCUCGUUUUCAUUUCUUAUGUGCAUAUUAUUUAGUAUGUGCAGAUUCUCGGAGGUGGCCAGGCUUCAGGCGGUGUGUUGGCUUGAAAUUAAAGGCAAAAUAGAGACUCAUUUCCUCUCCCCAAAGACCUGUUACAUACAUGUGUGCAAAAGCUCCAAAGGAUUUGAUGCCCUCCAUUCACCUCGUUAGCAAAGCUCAAUCUAUGAUGUCUUUUCAAGAAUUCAACCUUCACAUACUUCAUUAGGAUGAAUCUUAAUAAGGCAACCUUUCCCAUAUAUUCUUCCUUGAUAAAAAGCUUCAACCCACUAAAAUUAGAUGCCCAAAUAUCAAGUGACCCAUUCCAAGCUUUGUCUUAAACAAUAGUAUUUAAGUAUUUCAUAAACAUCAUGUGAAUAUCCCAAAGAAAACAUUUCUAUUCUUAGACAUUUUUACAUUAGUCAUAAAAAUUAUCCCAAAGUAUCUUAAUGAAGAGAGAGAGAGAUUUUUUCAUGCUAAUAUUAUAACCUUUGCUAAAAGCUGACCCAAACUCAACAAAAUUAUUCUCAUAUCCGGAACAUAAUAAACAUCCUAAAUAAAUAAGAUUUUCAUUCUUGAGUUGGAUAAUUAAAUCUGACCUUUGCUUUUCACCGGAAAUCUUGGAAUUAGUCACCGAAUGUAACAAAGCAUUGCACCGCUUCAUCAAGUUAACAAACAAAUCUUUUUGCCACACAUAUGAUUGUUUGCCCAUAUCAAGGAAACCACACAUUGCUUUGAUUUUCAUCUGACCCAUUGUAAGUUAGCACAAGGUUUGGCCCAACUCAUGCUUCUUUUUUUCUAAAUAGUUCAAUUGGCCUCACCAACUUCAUUUACUUGGAUUUGAUAACAUUCAUAAAUUGUAUGCCCAAAUGUUUGUGAAAUUAUAGAUUCCACAUUUCUUUUGUCAGACCUAUACCGAUUAUAUAAACGGUUGUAGUUGCCUCCUCCUCUUCCUCUUGUACUCAUAUUACUUUUAAUAAAUUCAUUUUCUUUGCUGACAGAAAAAAAUACAGCGAAGACAGAGAGAGAGGAGAGGAAGUAUGGAUUAUGUGAUUGCACCAUUAGUAGCUUUGCUAUGGAGUUUCAUAUCAAAUGUUAUUUCAGGUAUAAUGACCAAUUGGGUAUCUGAAUUAAUUUCGCACAAGGUCAAAAGAACAUACAACGCCUUGUGGGAGAGAUUCUUUCCUACACAUUGCCAGGAUAUUAUCACAAGAUCUGACUCUACCGUAGUCUUCACCACCAAGCAAGAACUCUAUUACAACUCUCCCAUCCUCCUUGAUGGGGGCAAAAUGGUAUAUUGAAUAUUUCAGUUGCAAACACACACCACCACACACACACAUGUUCAGAUGUGUUCAUGUUGGAAAAUUAUGACAAUUAUAUGCUAGCAUCGAGUCCGUGUAAAGUAUGCUAUAAUUAUGUAUUCAUAGGCUCCAUAAACAUUCGUAUCGUGAUAUCAUAGUGGCUCUACGUAAUUCAUGGUAGCAUAGUUUCAUGAUGUUUUUCUUUAUGUGGUUUCUAUGCUUUCCUAUUUGGUAUUGGGGUUUUGCUGCAAUUAUGAUAUAUGCAGUCAUACACGAUUCACAUUUUUUAGCACGCAGCCUAACAUUCUGCAAAAAGCAGAACUACUAUUUUGAAUUUUAAUGAGGUUUAUUAUAAAUACAGAAACUGUUAACCGCCAUAAUUGUUUUCAAAUAUGUUUGUCAAAGUAAGUUUUUUUAAGUGUGAUACAUCUUCAUAAAUUCUAUAAAAAUUUAGAACCUAAUUUUCAAUCUAAAUAAAAACUGGUAAAAUAUUGACAUGCCUACAUACUUUUUGACAACAUUCAUACCAACAGCCAUUUAUUUGUUGAUGUUAUGUCCUCUGAAGUAGUAUACUACUUAUAAAAGAUGAAUCCUAAAGAGACAUUCCUGCAAUCCGGCAUCCUUGCCAGGUAAUUGGAAAUAUUAGCAAUAACAAAAUGAAGUUCACGUGAGAAUACCAAGAACAGAGACAAAAAGGAGACUAGGAUUUCAUAGAUUUUAGAAUAAUAAUAUAAGAAAGAUAAAAAAAGUUUAAAUAACCCUAAUAAUAAAGAUAAUAAAUUACUAUUCUACCCUUACUGCUAAUAACAAAAUAAAUAAAUAAAUAAAACAUAAAUAUAAUUAUAAAAGGCCCCCUCAAACUCACGAUUGCAGUCGUAAAAAUAUCAGGAGUGCAACUUAAAAAACGAAAGCGCCAAAGAGAGGUAAAGUGACCAUGCGAUAACAAACAGCAAGCUGCAUAGAUGAAGAGACAAAAGGCUCAAACUAAAAUGGUGUCAUACUUGCAAAUAAUGACAAGUAGAUGACUAUCAAUCUCGAUAUACUUGGUCGCUCAGAAAAUAGAAUUAUGGCAAUUUGAUAGCACUCUCGUGUCACAAAACAUAGGAGUGGGAAAGAAGCAAAAAACACGCAUGUCAGCCAGUAACCACCGUAACCAAACAUCUCUGUUAUAGAGCCAUAGCACGAUACUCAGCUUCUGUUGAAGAUGUUGAACAACAAACUGCUUCUGAUUUUUUUCAAGACAUAAGAGAAGUACCCAAAAAGAUAUAGAAAAUCCAGUGGUAGAUUUGCCGAUCAAUAGGAUCAUUUCGCCCAAAUUCAGCACCAGAAUAUCGCACACAAUGGUAAAGAUGAAGUGGAAAGGUAGUAAAAGACUUUGAAAAUGAGGCCACGUAGGUACAUCAAAAUACGAAGACGACAAACCCAAUGAAAAACAGUAGUCGGGAGUAAGCAACUGACUAACAAUAUAAACAGCAUAUGCAAUAUCUGGACGAGUAAUAGUGUCACGACACAACCAUUUAUACACGUGGGGUCCUCCACCUUGCUACAGGACUUGUCAUCGGACCGCGCAGUGAGUCUCCCUCACUAAGGCCUACAUUCACUUCAGUUUAGGGAUUUUCAUUUUAUUCAGUAUUAUUCUUGAAUGCAAAACAAAUAUGCGGCAAACGUAUUUAAAUAAACUGACGUGUCAUCAGAUAGAAAAGUUAUUUACCUUUAUAUACAACUACGGUUUUGGCAACAGUCGGCACAACCAUUAUCAAAAAACUAUACAAAACCCGGUCAAAAAGAAACUAAAAUUCUUAUACUGCCUUUUUACAUACAUAAGACAACAAAAAACUGACUAAGAGUCAUCUACCUCAUCUUGCCCCACCUAGUUCUCGUACCUUGAAAUGGUUACGUACGAUGACGGUCUUAAGCACUAGGAGAGUGUGAGUCAUCGUUAUAUAAUACAAAACCAGGGGGUGCCCAUGAAAUUAUAAAUAUCAAUUCAUUUCAACAUAAAAUAAUUUAAUUGCCAUUCCUUUGCAUUUCAAUCAUUGGCAUCAGCUGGCCCAUUUCUGAUUUCAUAUCAAGAAUUAAAACUAUUGGAUUGACAAUUGCGACACAUCACCUAUUAAACGAACCCCGUAAUCAGGGCGCGACCCUAAUUAAAUAUAGCAUGAUUAUCACCAGACGAUAUCUGGCUAUGAUACCACCUUUUUCAUCACCUCUAGCGAAUUUCUUUUCCCCUAGCGGUAGGGGGGCAUCGUGCGAACUAGUGUUAUCUAAAUCACAUUUUCACAGGUAAUCAUUUUAAACAUUUCAUGACACAUUUUAAAAAACAAUAUAGCAUGCAUUAUCAGUUAAAGACCACACAUUUCGAUAAUUCAAGCAUCAACUGCUUCAUCAUAAAAGUCAUUUUCAGUGAAGUAAAAAUAACACAAGACGCAACCGAACGGUAUGUCCAAAUCUUUCCACACGUCGUGAGCUAAGUUCCUCGGAUUCGGAUCCUACGUUUAAUAGUCGAAUCAGUAAAUAUAAUAUUAAUAUAUUAAUUUGAUAAUAUAGACAACAUUUUUAAAAUUAAGUAAGGUCAAGUAAUAUUUCACGUAAUUUCGGAUUACAUUUUUUAGAUUAGCCCCCAGAGAAUGUUCUUCAUUACAUUUGUUUUUUAAAACAGUAGGUUAAUUAUACUUCGUAUAACUUAUCUAGAGAUCAUUGACUUCGAGAUUUUACACAAUACACAAGAAAUUAUAUCUAUUUAUAGUAAAAGAUAUAAAAUUUCUAAGGCUUACCUAGAUAUUUGUAGAAAUUCGUUCAACCAUUCUCUCCGCACAAAAAUGGCUCACUGAUAGCCGCUUAAUCAAUAAUUAUUUUGAGAACCGAAAAUAUUCAAAAGUUUAUAAAAUACAUAUGUAAUAACUAGACAUAUACAUUUAUAACAAUAAAAGUUCAGAGUUUCUAUCAAAGGCAACUAUUUAUAAAAUUUAUAAAAUUUCUUUUCGUUGAACCAUUUUUCCCGUUUUCGGAAUCGUAUUACAUGUCAAUUGUUUGGACUAUUUAGACUCUUAAUUUCACAAAAUGUUCUAAAUGAAAGUUUUAAGAUAAUUUUGAUAUCUUUCCAACUCACUUAAUAUCAAGUAAUUUGGAAAUAUCGUAUGAGAAAGUAGGAGCAAAUUACAGUGGCUUAUUUUAGUGAUAACUAGAACUCCGAGUGUUCGAAUGUUAUUUAAAAAUACGUAGAAGUGCAAUAUUUUUAGGGGUUAUUUAGAAGGUUUAAAUGAUACUAGAUAUGGUGUUCUAGAAAUAUCAAAGAAAGGAGAAGAAAAGAAAAAGAAUGUACCUAAUGGGUGAUUUUCAACCUUCUUUUCGUACUGUUCUAGCUGUUUUCUUCUUUCUCUUGUGUGUGAAGUAACAGUGAAUUUUAUUUGUCUUUGAAUCACACACACGCAUGCCGUUAGUAGGGAUAUCUACUAUUCCCUUCUCUUUUGUAUUCCACACACACACGUGCACUUGUGCAGUUUUUUCCUUUAUUACCUUGUGACACACCACACAAUUGCAAUGUCACACGGGACAGCUGAUACCAGCAGCUCACACACACUCACCGGGCACGGUUCAACAAAUACACAGUUGCAACAUUAUACUAUGCCAUAUUGGACAAAUCCGUGUCAUCAUGUUUUCACCAGAGUCGUGCCGCGGUCUGUAACGUGUAGUAUUAUAGUGUUCCAUUUUUCUCCUAACUUAUAAAGGAUUUCGGAAAAAAAAACAUAUUAAUUAAAGUCAAAUUAAAUUCUGGCCCUUAUUAUUUAAUUAUUUUCGCAGGUCGGGUAUUACAAAUGGAGUAGACCAAAUUCCAAUAAUAGUGGGAUAUAAGAAGGAUCAGGUAAAGGAGUAUAUCAGUUCGGAGAAUACCGAAUAUUAAGUUCUCAAGAGGAGUCAUGGAAACAGUCUAAUAUCGUAAGAGAGCAUGCUCUCAAAAAUUUUUGCAAUGUAUUUAGACGUGAAUUAUAUUAACCCUUAGCGUGAAAAGGCUACUUUAUACCAAAAAACAACGUUGUAGAGGUCCCAAUCCUUCAUUUCAAUCGAGAAGCCAAUUCUAAUUUCAAUCGGUCAAUUCCAGCCACAUAACACUGUACUCACCAUAUCAUCAACAUAUAAUGAAAGACGAAUACGGCCAAGCAGUAGAAACUUUAUAAACGAGCAGAAUUCCUGAUUGUUGGAAUGAAACCAAGCGAGGUAAUCACCAGGUGGGGGAGUCCAUAUAAAUGGUGUGUCUAAGGCUUGUGGGAACCACCAGGUAGGGGAGUCAUAUAAAUCUUCGAGAUCACCAAUUCAAAGAAGGCUUCUUAAAAUCAUUUGAGAAAAUGCACUGAAGAAUAGAGCAACGGCACUAAGAGUAUGAAUAGAGUCAUUUUUAUAAUUGGAGCAAAAGUCUUUUUAUUAUCCAUACCAACUGUGGGAAAAAACUUUGGCAACCAAACGGCCUUGUAUCGCUCGAAUAGAAACCAUCAGCAUUGGUUUUGAUUUUGUAAACCCCCCCCCCACGAGAACCAAUUUUACUAGCCAGAUGGUGGUAAAAGGUACAAAUUCCAGGUACCAGUGUUAUGCAAAAGAGAAAGUCCUCAGUCAUACUUGCUGGCCAAAGGGGAUCAAGUGUUGAAUCAAGCCUCGAUUUAGAUAUAAAAAAAAAGCCUAUUAGUUGUUAAUAUGGAUUUCUAGUGUGCAAACUUUCUAAGCAUCGCGUUCUAUGACCUUAAUUGAUCAAAAAGAGCUCCAAAAACACUUUUUGAAAAAAAAUGCGACACCUAGUUUGGUGGGUAAAACACCUAUAAAGCCAGAAAUAAUAUUGAUAUAUAUGUGAAAAAACCUCAAAUAAUAAUGAACCUUAAAAUGGAUAUAAGUUCCAAGAUCAUAUGCAUCCAUUAGAAAAAAUAUCAUGAAGGAAGGAAGUCGACCGAUGCCUAACUGACCAAAAAAAAAAAAAGAUGAUGAGAACACAUUAUGGUAGAAAGUGUCGAAUACCUAGUAUAAUUGUUGGGUAGACACAAAUGUUCAGUAACCAAACCUCAGAAUUUCAUUAAGACAAUGUGUCGACACCAGUAUUGACACAAGGUCAGUGGCAAAAUUAAAAGUUUUUUGAAACAUCAAGUGUCGGACACAACAUCAGAGCACCAAAUGUCAGUGUCAAAACUCAGGUAUCUGGAAAUGAAGAGUGUCGACACCUAUAUCAGGCCACCAAUGUCAGUAGCCAAAACCUAGAAAUAUUGAACAGCACGUGUCGACACAACCUCAGCACCAAAUAUCAGUAGCCAAACCCAGAAUAAGGAACAAAAAUGUGACACCCACCUCAACACCAAAUGUUAGUAGGCCAAACCCAGAAAUAUAGAACAACAAAUGUCGACACCAAUUCUCAGCACAAAAGUCAGUAAUCGAACCCAGAAGAUUGGAAAACUCAAAGUGUCGACACCAACUCAGCACCCCAAAAGCAGUAACCAAACCCAGAAGUUUGGAACAUUUAGUGUUGACACCAACAGCAGCACAUGGAGACAGUUUCUACAAAAAAAAAUGGAUAGCUUGAAGUGUCGACACCAGAAAAUGAAAGUGUACGAACCUGAAAGCUGGCUUGUCGACACUAACAGUAUUAUUUCAAACGCAGAGUAUUCAGUACAGCAUUUUAAAUGCCUCCCAACUACCACCAACGGCUCAUUAUUAUUCAUUUCAAGCUAUUAAAUAACAAGCCUCUAAAGGGCAUUUAAACACAAGAAGAGAUAUUAAAAGAAUUGAUUUGAAGAUCUAACAAGCUCAAAUUCAAGAUCUCUUGAACAUUCACUUUUUGUCAUCUUGUGUUAACAUUGAUUAUUUGAUUCCAAGUUAUAUCUACUCUAUUGGGAGAGUUAUUUUUAUCUAGUACUACCUUCAUUAAUCUACCAUUGUAAGUUUGAGUGAGACUGGACAAAUCACUUGGUGAGAGUUUUUGAGUGUUCUUGAUAAAAACCAAACAUUAAGAGUUUUAGUGUUUCUCUUGUAAGUAAAACAUUAAGAACUGUGAGUGGAGCUUGGAUAAGAACACUUGGUGUUAAAAGUGAGCUGAGCACUUGAAAAUCAGCCCCACAUUGUAGUUGCGGUAUUACAAAUAGUGAAAGAUCUUGCGGAGGUAUUGGGAGGACGUUAGAUUAUGAGUUGUGAUCGAACCUACAGUAAAUCUGGUGUGUUCGCUCUCAUUAUCGUGAUGUGCUUCACCCAUUACAUCUAUUACAUUCAAAACACCAUUGCAUUGGUUUAUCUUAUAAUUGAUUAAUUUUUAAUUACCUCUAAUUUACUAAUUAUUUUCAAAAAACCCAAUUCACCCCCCUCUUGGGUUUGCCUAUGAAACCAACAUCAAGAACAACCUCUUUAAUAAGAGGCUCAAAAAAGAUGUUGAAUAGUGGCUAAGAAAGAGCAAAAGAACUAGAAUAACAGAAUAAGAAAAAUCGUAGGCAAAUUAGUAAACUUACGAAUCGCCUUUUAAGAUAGGAGGAAGAGGAUCCACAAUCUCAGAAGUUGGCUUAGGUAGGCAGAGGCUGAGGAGGAUCCAUAAUCUCAAGAUGGGUAGGGCGAGGUAGAGGAUGCACACGAUGUGAUCGGAACAUCAGAUACGGAAAUACCAAUGUCUGUAGGGGAUGGAGGAGGGUUGAACACUGGAUCUUGAUUCUCAGAAAAAGAGUCAUGACAAAUAAGGUCAGGAUUUUAGUAAGUUAUGAGUACUAUAAGGAUAGAGAAAAAAGGUAUAUGUUCAAGGAACACAAAUGACGGGACAACAUAUAAUUAUGGUAACAGAUCAAAAUAACGAUAUUCUUUUUGACCCUCACCAUAUCCAAGAAAAAAUACAAAGGCCAGAACGAAAGACCACGUAAUACGUUCUACACGAGGACGAAGUACAAAACAAGCAUAACCAAGACUCGUAAAGAGAAGGAAUUUGAGGACGACCAUGCAAUUUUCAAAAAGGAGAAUAAGAUAUGUGAAAUAUGAAGAUGAUAGGAUCAUAUAAUGACCCGACCGAAACAGUAGGUGAGUGAGAACUGCCUCGCCCCAAAAAUACUAGGAACCAAAGUAAGACAGUAAGAAAGACGGGCAAUUUCAAACAAUUAUACCGAUAAUCAUUUUAGCCACACUAUUUUGCUAUGGCGUAUCAGUGACAAGAGAAUUGAUGAAUAAUGCCAUUUAAGCAAGCACUCAGAAAAUCAUUAGAAGUAUAUGCACCACACCUAAAUCACACCGAAAACAUUUGGUAACAGCAGAAGUUGUGUUUCAGAGAGCAAAAGGAUUAUAAAUACCUAAAAAUUCAAAACGAUUUUCAUAAGAUUAACUCAACAAUAACGACUAUAAUCAUAAAUAAAAGAAACAUAAUAAUGAGACCAGCCUUUGGUUAGCAAUAGGACACCGUCCCCACAAAUCAAAAUGGACUUAAAGCAAAGGUGACAUAGAAUAAGAGAUACUUCAAUUAAAAAGGUAGAGGCCAAAAAAUUUUGCUAGUUACAAACCACUGCAAGUAGAAAGAUCAUGUGC